ensembl:lncRNA
GCAGUUAGUAGCCUUGGCCUUCUUCAAGGAGAGGAAGAAAGGCCCUGAGUGGCUGCUGUAGUUUCCUGUGUGUCAGACUUCCAGUAAUGAUUAGUGUCACUUUUACCUCCCCAUGCCGUCACAGUGUGUGUCAACACGCUUUCUUCUGACACUUAACGGCAUCAAGACCAAACCAAGGAGUAUAAUCAGCGAAACACAAGAGGUUUGCAAUGGUGCAAUGUCUGGUGUUCACACUGCUCUGGGUCUGUGCUGUGGCACUGCUUUCCCUUGGGAGUACAGAGAGAGUAUCUCAAACGACUGAGCCAAGUGUCUCUAGGAGCACAGACCCGACGGCUGAGACAGUUACUUUAGGACCAGUUGAGACCCAAAGCCCUGGUACACACACAGACCAGAGCAUAGAAGAAGAACAAGAACCACUUCCCUCAGACCCCUGUCAGGAUGACGAGUUGGAUAAGAGGGUGUACCAGAGGGAUUCUCAUGGUGUUAUGCAGCUGGUUCAGGGAGAGGACUACAAAAACACUUGCAACCUAUCAGACACUCCAGGUGAACAGGCCCACUGUCUUAUCUACCCUACCAAUCAACUCAACUGCUCCUGGAAUUUCCAUGGUCUCCCUAACGACAGCCAAUCCUACGCCUCCGUCUUUGUGUGUAAGAAAACUGAGAGAAUCUCCAGUGUGGACUGUGUCACUGAGGCCACAGGAGGCCAAGGAGCCCAGGGAGGGACUGGAAAGGCUGACCGUGUGGUUGGAAAUGUGUCUGCUGGGUGCCAAGGCAGUGUGGACAACAGCGCCACCUCGGUGAUCCUGACUUUCAACGUGUCAUGCUCUGACGUGUGGGGCAUCUACACCCAUAAAUACCAGACCAAAGAUAUUGAUGUGCUGCGCCCGCCCCCCGACAUCAACCUAGCCUGGGUCAGAGAGGGGGUUCUGCUGGUGCAGUGGGGUCUCCCAUCCAGCCGGUCACGCAACAAAUCCAGCUGCUUCCACUACCAGCUACAGAUCAAUGACCAGGUGAGGAACUUUACGGGUUUACUGACAUACAAUGAGACCAACGCAGACCCUACACAUUCACACAAUGUGAAGAUGAGGGUGAGGAAGAGUAAAACCUGCAGAGGAUCUCAACACUGGAGCAGCUGGAGCAACACCACCAAGGUGGCCCCGUUUAAAUUUCCCAAUCAGCUGAACUCUCUGGUGGUCGUUGGCAUCGCUCUGGGAAUACCCAUGAUCCUCCUGUCUCUGCUGCUGCUGAUUCGACUCCAGAGGGAACGUCUGUUUCCCCACAUCCCUGGUCCCCCACUGAAGAUUAAACACCUCUUGGAGAGAGACGACCAGUUUCAGUUUGUCCCUCAGGCCCUGCAGCCCAAAUUUGUUGAGGAGAUCACAGUGGUGGAGGAAGCUAAGGAAACACCUGUGAAUUUGGCCAGUUAAACAAGAUGGCCUGUUUAAAGCCCAAUCAUCCUAAUCCCCUAGACUGUGUAAGGGCCGAUCUGUAAGGAGGAUCCCCUUAGCAGAUGCAGUCAUUACCAUUUGUUAAUACCUAUCCAAUCCUUUCAAGAGUGGAUGCUACUUAUUGACAUGCAUUGUUCUUACAUGCUUAUUAGUGUCUACUCAAUUAAUUGUUGUAAUGUGCUCAGCUUCUACCAGUGUUGUAGUUCUCAAGACCGAGACCAGUCCAGUCUUGAGACCACAUAUGGGUCUUGUCUUGGUGUCAGCUACAUUCGUACUUGGUCGUGACUCAGUCUCAGACAGUGAGGACUCGUAAUUUCUUCCCUAGACCAGUGGAGUAAAAACACUCAAACAUAUACACUCCCAUCUUGAAACAUUAUCUUAACAACCGUUAUCUAUUAUAGACAUGGUUACGCAGUGGUGAACCUAUAGGUCUUCAGUAUGUGACAGGUUAGUACAGUGGUGAACCUAUAGGUCUUCAGUGUGUGACAGGUUAGUACAGUGGUGAACCUAUAGGUCUUCAGUGGUGAACCUAUAGGUCUUCAGUGUGUAACAGGUUAGUACAGUGGUGAACCUAUAGGUCUUCAGUGUGUAACAGGUUAGUACAGUGGUGAACCUAUAGGACUUCAGUGUGUGACAGGUUAGUACAGUGGUGAACCUAUAGGACUUCAGUGUGUGACAGGUUAGUACAGUGGUGAACCUAUAGGUCUUCAGUAUGUAACAGGUUAGUACAGUGGUGAACCUAUAGGUCUUCAGUGUGUGACAGGUUAGUACAGUGGUGAACCUAUAGGCCUUCAGUGUGUGACAGGUUAGUACAGUGGUGAACCUAUAGGUCUUCAGUGUGUGACAGGUUAGUACAGUGGUGAACCUAUAGGUCUUCAGUAUGUAACAGGUUAGUACAGUGGUGAACCUAUAGGUCUUCAGUGUGUGACAGGUUAGUACAGUGGUGAACCUAUAGGUCUUCAGUGUAACAGGUUAGUACAGUGGUGAACCUAUAGGUCUUCAGUAUGUAACUGGUUAGUACAGUGGUGAACCUAUAGGUCUUCAGUGUGUGACAGGUUAGUACAGUGGUGAACCUAUAGGCCUUCAGUGUGUGACAGGUUAGUACAGUGGUGAACCUAUAGGCCUUCAGUGUGUGACAGGUUGGUGAUUCUGAAAGGACAGCAACCGUAAUACCAGACACUCAUGUAGGAGAGUGCACUUUUUGUAAAACACAAAGGGACAGUGGUGUAGUGGAGGUAUUUUUUCAGUGGGAAUUGCCUAUACUCACUUAAUCCUAUUGAUGCGUAUCAAAGUAGUGUAGUGGAGUAUACGCAGGUAUUUUUUCAGUGGGCAUUGCCUAUACUCACUUAAUCCUAUUGAUGCGUAUCAAAGUAGUGUAGUGGAGGCAGUGGCGACCCAUCAUUAAGGGCAGUUCUUCAGUCCCACCUGUUUAGCAGGGGGUGUGCCUGUUUUGCAUGUUAUUUUGUCAUUAAUAUGUGUCACAUAUCAGUUUGAAAAAAAUGAAUGAGUUAAUAAAGCUUCAUACAAACAUGGUAUUUAUUUUCUUUCUUGAGUGAGGGAGCUCCAAAAUGCAGAUGUUUCCACUUAGUUCAGUGCUUUCUGUGGUGGGGCAGCCAGCGGAAAAUACUGAGCGUAGGAGUUGGUAAAGUUCUCUUGUUGCGCCUUGAAAGUAUGACUCAGUGUUCUGUCACUCAUGGGGACACUACGUCACGGCAAAAUUCAAGCCCCUUGGGUGCUGCCAUAGAGUUACAUUAGAAGUGCCCAUCCAAUAAGGCUCAAGGUCAUUGGCCACAGAUAAAAUGAUGUCAAAUCAUGUUAUAUCUACCAUAGCUUUGAUUGGAUGGAUCAUGUCAACAUCAUACUUUCUAAAUCUUAGCUAGUAAGCUAGCAGUCAUGAUCAUGAAUCUAGUUAGCAAUCUACAGGCAAAUCCUUUUCAAUCCUUGUAAUGGGAAGAGAAAUGAUAGAUAAAACGUAUAUAGUGCUCAUCGGUCAAAGUGCUCAUCAGUCAUUGGACAUAAACAUUACACAAGAAGUUGUAAAUUGUAAAUUCAACGAUGAGUGGUUUGAAAGGAAUCAGUGGCUAACUGCAAGCAUUGCAAAGCAAUCACUACCCUGCUAUUCAGUGGAGUGGGUUUAAGGGUCGCUUUUCCAAGCUUAUUUGGUAUUUGGUAUUUUAUUAGGAUCCCCAUUAGCUGUUGCAAAAGCAGCAGCUACUCUUCCUGGGGUCCACACUAAACAUGAAACAUAAAACAGAAUGAUAUACAGUAAGACAGAACAGCAUUAGACAAGAACAGCUCAAGAACAGAACUACAUUUUUAAAAAGACACACGUACCCUACAUAUCAUUGCAUACACACACUAUCUAGGUCAAAUAGGGGAGAGGCGUUGUGCCGCGAAGUGUCGCUCUAUCUGUUUUUGGAAACCAAGUUUGCUGUUUGAGCCAUAUUAAAUGGAAGGAAGUUCCAUGCAAAAAGGGCUCUAUAUAAUGCUGUAAGUUUUCUUGAAUUUCUUCUGGAUUUGGGGACUAUGAAAAGACCCCUGUUGGCAUGUCUGGUGGGAUAAGUGUGUGUGUCGGAGGUAUAAGUUGACUAUGCAAACAAUUUCGGAUUUCAACACAUGAAUGUUUCUUAUAAAAAGAAGAAGUGAUGCAGUCAGUCUCUCCCCAACUCUUAGCCAAGAGGGACUGGCAUGCAUAGCAUUUAUAUCAGCCCUCUGAUUACAAUUAAGAGCAAAACGUGCCGCUCUGUUCUGGGCCAGCUGCAUUAUAACUAGGUCUUUCCUUGCAGCACUGGACCACACAACUGGACAAUAAUCAAGGUUAGACAAAACUAGAGCCUGCAGAACUUGCUUUUUGGAGUGUGCUGUCAAAAAAGCAGAGCAUCUCUUUAUUACGGCUAGACCUCUCCCCAUCUUUGCAAUUAGGUGCUGGCUUAAGGCUUAAAAGGAUAAACAUUCAACAUUGGCCAUCCUGUCAAUCAAGCAUGACUUCUGCCACUUUCAAAUCAACUGGAAUCUCAGAAUUUGGAAAUCUCAGACUUCAGUGACUUCAAGACAACUGGGAACACGGAAAAAAUACAAUUUGAACGGUCACCCAACUUGUAAUUUCAAGUCAGGCACUCUGGCCUCUUUCUAGAGCUCCGACCUGAAGAUCACUGACGUCAUGAUUCAACCUUGUUUUUCUCAGAGUUCCUAGCUGUCUUGAAAGCACCAUAAAUCCAGAGAAUGACAGACUUUGAUGAUAAAGUUUGAUGACAAAAUUUGCCCACGAAGGACCGCCGCACCACCGUUGUUCAAGUGAGCAAAGCACAACAAG